rnacentral:rRNA from 1 species
CCGGCCACACUGGGACUGAGACACGGCCCAGACUCCUACGGGAGGCAGCAGUGGGGAAUAUUGCACAAUGGGCGAAAGCCUGAUGCAGCAACGCCGCGUGAGGGAUGACGGCCUUCGGGUUGUAAACCUCUUUCAGCAGGGACGAAGCGCAAGUGACGGUACCUGCAGAAGAAGCACCGGCCAACUACGUGCCAGCAGCCGCGGUAAUACGUAGGGUGCGAGCGUUGUCCGGAAUUAUUGGGCGUAAAGGGCUCGUAGGCGGUUUGUCGCGUCGGGAGUGAAAACUCAGGGCUUAACCCUGAGCCUGCUUUCGAUACGGGCAGACUAGAGGUAGGCAGGGGAGAACGGAAUUCCUGGUGUAGCGGUGAAAUGCGCAGAUAUCAGGAGGAACACCGGUGGCGAAGGCGGUUCUCUGGGCAUUACCUGACGCUGAGGAGCGAAAGUGUGGGGAGCGAACAGGAUUAGAUACCCUGGUAGUCCACACCGUAAACGUUGGGCGCUAGGUGUGGGACUCAUUCCACGAGUUCCGUGCCGAACUAACGCAUUAAGCGCCCCGCCUGGGGAGUACGGCCGCAAGGCUAAAACUCAAAGGAAUUGAACGGGGGCCCGCACAAGCGGCGGAACAUGCGGAUUAAUUCGAUGCAACGCGAAGAACCUUACCUGGGUUUGACAUAUGCCGGAA